rnacentral:rRNA from 1 species
GUCGGCGACCGUACCACGUUGAAAGCACCGGUUCUCGUCCGAUCACCGAAGUUAAGCAACGUUGGGCCCGGUUAGUACUUGCAUGGGUGAUCGGCUGGGAAUACCGGGUGUUGCCGUCU